GGAAGGGAACCUGAUUAGGCCAGGACAGAGGCCUUUAAUUGAGUGUGCUCCCUCACACAAUGGGCCUUUAAGGCCUAGGCCUCCCUCACACAGUAGGCCUAUGAAGCUAAGGGAGCCUGAUUAGGCCAGUACAUAGGACUUUGAUUGCCACAGCCUAACCAGAUCGUUUGCCCCCACCUCACAGCUUCAGCCCGUUUUCCCAGGAUCGUCCUUUCCUCAUCGCGUGAAGGACCACACCAACCGAGAUGAAACAGGGAUGGAGGCCACAGAGGAGACAGGGGUGGAGGAGGUGCAGCAUGGCCCAGCUCAGGGAUUUAUGUUCCAGGCCCAGUCCCAGUUUGAGGAAAUGAAUGCUGUAUCAUUUAGGAAAAGCAUUAUCCUGACUCUGUUGACCUAGUAUGGAAAGUUUUUGCUGCUCCUUGAGAUCCCUUAGGAAUACUGAGUAGUUAUUUUAAACAAGGCCUUGAUCAAUCAAGAGCCAAGAACAAAGAAACUGGUAUAAGACUCUGGUUGUAUUAAAUAGCUGCAAUUGUCCUAGUUUUAUUGGGAUAAGGAAUUGUGUGACAUUCAAAUAAGAAAUAUUCUGCUGAGGUUUGUUACCACUUGAUUUAGCAUUAUAUCAGAUGGAAAGCUGAUUGUUCAGAAUAUUAUUGAAGGACCUUUUUUUUUUCUGUUGAGAGACAUGAUUAAAUCUGCAGUCCUUAUAUUCAUUUGCCUAAGGGCAUGCUCCAUUGAACUCAAUAAAUAAUUACUUUAAGUUGG